CACUCACUCGACUAUUGAGGAACGCGCGGAGAAUUAAUUCCAAUUUCACCCAUUCGCGCUCAAUCAACGACCAAGGAUGAUCAAGAGUUCCAAAUCACAAAAAUUUUGAUGCUCUAGAAAUCCAAAUAUCAUCGCUAGGUAAUCUACUUCUAUUUCUACAUAUUGACUCUGUAGUUCUGUUAGCUUCAAGUUCCAUACAGGAGCGACCGAUCCAUGCAAUA
rnacentral:lncRNA from 1 species